rnacentral:rRNA from 1 species
CAGUCGCCACGGGAAUACGUAGGGUGCGAGCGUUAAUCGGAAUUACUGGGCGUAAAGCGUGCGCAGGCGGUUGUGUAAGACAGGUGUGAAAUCCCCGGGCUUAACCUGGGAACUGCGCUUGUGACUGCACAGCUAGAGUAUGGCAGAGGGGGGUGGAAUUCCACGUGUAGCAGUGAAAUGCGUAGAGAUGUGGAGGAACACCGAUGGCGAAGGCAGCCCCCUGGGCCAAUACUGACGCUCAUGCACGAAAGCGUGGGGAGCGAACAGGAUUAGAUACCCCAGUAGUCCCUGUCUCUUAUAA